UCCGGUUUGGCACCGGCAGUCUCCCCAGAGUUCCCGGCAUGACCCGCUGGUAACUGAGGACAAGGGUUGCGCUCGUUGCGCCACUUAAGGCAACACCUCACGACACGAGCUGACGACAGCCAUGCACCACCUGUGAUCCUGCCCACAAGGGGAAGCCGUGUUUCCACGGCGGUCAGGAACAUGUCAAACCCAGGUAAGGUCCUUCGCGUUGCAUCGAAUUAAGCCACAUGCUCCGCCGCUUGUGCGGGCCCCCGUCAAUUCCUUUGAGUUUUAGUCUUGCGACCGUACUCCCCAGGCGGAGUGCUUAAUGCGUUAGCUGCGGCACAGAGCGGGUUGAAGACCGCCCCACACCUAGCACUCAACGUUUACGGCUGGGACUAC
rnacentral:misc_RNA from 1 species